GAUAAAGAAAGGAAUCGAACCAAUGUUUACAGGACUACAGCCUGCCGCCUUACACUCGGCCACUUUACC
rnacentral:tRNA from 1 species